GAUGAAGAACGCAGCGAAAUGCGAUAAGUAAUGUGAAUUGCAGAAUUCAGUGAAUCAUCGAAUCUUUGAACGCACAUUGCGCCCCCUGGUAUUCCGGGGGGCAUGCCUGUUCGAGCGUCAUUUCACCACUCAAGCCUCGCUUGGUAUUGGGCAACGCGGUCCGCCGCGUGCCUCAAAUCGUCCGGCUGGGUCUUCUGUCCCCUAAGCGUUGUGGAAACUAUUCGCUAAAGGGUGUUCGGGAGGCUACGCCGUAAAACAACCCCAUUUCUAAAGUUGACCUCGGAUCAGGUAGGGAUACCCGCUGAACUUAAGCAUAUCAAUAAGCGGAGGA
rnacentral:misc_RNA from 1 species